rnacentral:rRNA from 1 species
CACGAGUUUGAUCAUGGCUCGAGGAUGAACGCUAGACGGCAGGCUUAACACAUGCAAGUCGAGGGGUAGAGGAAGCUUGCUUCCUUGAGACCGGCGCACGGGUGCGUAACGCGUAUACAAUCUACCUUUUACAGAGGAUAGCCCAGAGAAAAUUUGGAUUAAUACCUCAUAGUAUUUUCGGAUCGCAUGAUUUGAUUAUUAAAGUUCCAACGGUAUAAGAUGAGCAUGCGUCCCAUUAGUUAGUUGGUAAGGUAACGGCUUACCAAGACAAUGAUGGGUAGGGGUCCUGAGAGGAGAUCCCCCACACUGGUACUGAGACACGGACCAGACUCCUACGGGAGGCAGCAGUGAGGAAUAUUGGUCAAUGGGCGCAAGCCUGAACCAGCCAUGCCGCGUGCAGGAAGACGGUCCUAUGGAUUGUAAACUGCUUUUAUACAGGAAGAAACCCUCCCACGUGUGGGAGCUUGACGGUACUGUAGGAAUAAGGAUCGGCUAACUCCGUG